rnacentral:tRNA from 1 species
GAGGGUAUAGCUCAGUGAUAGAGUGCAUGCUUAGCAUGCAUGAGGUCCUAGGUUCAAUCCCCAGUACCUCCU